UACGAAGGGGGCUAGCGUUGCUCGGAAUCACUGGGCGUAAAGGGUGCGUAGGCGGGUCUUUAAGUCAGGGGUGAAAUCCUGGAGCUCAACUCCAGAACUGCCUUUGAUACUGAAGAUCUUGAGUUCGGGAGAGGUGAGUGGAACUGCGAGUGUAGAGGUGAAAUUCGUAGAUAUUCGCAAGAACACCAGUGGCGAAGGCGGGUCUCUGGGCCGAUACUGACGCUGAGGAGCGAAAGCAUGGGGAGCGAACAGG
rnacentral:rRNA from 1 species